UGGGCCCAACACAAAAAGCAGCACCUAUAGAGGUCAUAUUGAGGUGUGAUUUCCAGGGAGCUCAUGCACCUACUACCCUGCAAAUAAAGCCUGUGGUCCUGGGUUAGAUUAUGCAAAGUUCUUGUGCCAGCUUUAAAGAUAAGCAAAUACCAGGUAGGUGACUCUGAAUGGAGAAGGUACAUCAAUAUUUCCCUUCAAUUGUGGGAAGAAUACGGAACCUGCUUAGAUGGAGAUAUUCAGGUUGAUCCGCACCAAACGUGAAGAAAAGGAAAGCUGCCCCCCACGUCUCCCGGCUCUGGGUAGCAGACAGAGCUGAUCAUCUGUAACAAGAUCCUAGAAUGUAAAUUCCUGAACCAAAGGUUUCCAGCUUCUUCCAUUCUAGCACUCUGACGGACAGAGUGUGUUCUCAUGAAAACCAUGGCUUUCCACAACAGGAGGCGUCUCCUGGAGUGAUCAGAGCCCCGUCCCCUGCAUCUGGCUGCGUCUCUGCAAUGCUUAACACCAUGCUGGGCUCAUCCAAGCCAUUCCAGUAAUGCUGUACGAAAGCACUUACUGUGUAGCUGAUACUGUGUUGUGUCGUGCGUUUUGCAACUGUAGGGCCAUACGAAAUCAAAUCAAGGGCCUGAAGUUCCCACCCGGGGCUAGAGA